rfam:Monodelphis domestica chromosome 8, whole genome shotgun sequence.
CACAUUCCCCGACAGGAAAAUAUAAAUCAUGUAUGAAAUCAGCUAAAGAACAUUUUGGAUAUCAUUCAGCAGAUUAUAUUCUUUGUCUUGUUCCAUUUCUCUUCAAGG